rnacentral:lncRNA from 1 species
UUUGUACUUUGUAGAGGAGGUUAAAGGUAUUUAAAGUCAGAUUGGAGGAUUUCUUAAGUGCCUAAGAAGAUGACGGGAGAAAGAUUCAGAAGCAGCAAUUAAAUUAAAUUCAACAUGCAUCCACUGAGCACUUCUUGUUUCCCUAGAACUCUACAGAGACCCCAAGAGAUAUUUACCAGGAAGGUGGAACUCACAUUUCUUCCAAUUUAAGCUGCACCUCCUCAGUGAUGUGGCCCCCCUAAUAGUCCUCUACACAGUGACCCCUCCUCCUUUGGAAUCGUUAUUGUCAUUUGGAACCAUAGUAGCUUGUCUCCAAAGAUGGCCUUCCAGUAACUCAUGCUUCCUGAUGAUCAGGCCCUAAAUAGGUUGUCCUUGUGACUUCCAUCUUGACCCAUAGAAUGUGGUGGAAGUAGCAUUGGAUGACGUCCAAGGUUAGUUCAUAAAAAGCCUUGUGGAUUCUUCCUCAGCCUCUAGAAACACUUGCUCUUGGAGCGUAUGCUUUGAGGAAAUCCAAAUGUCAUAUGAGAUGCCUGAGACCACCUAUCUCAGACUAUUGUGGGAGAGACUACUGUGCUGUGAAGAAGUACAAAGUAGCCAUGUGAAGAUACCAUACGGAGAAAGACAGAUGCCUAGGUAGCCCCUAGCUGUGCCAGCCAUCCCAUCAGAAUCACCACACAUAAGAGUAAAGGAAUCAUUGUGGAUGUCCAGCCUAGUCAAGCCUGUAGAUGAUUCCAGUUCCAGUUGCCAUCUGUCAGUAACUGCCUGAGACCCAAGACAAGAACCACCCAGCUUAGCCCAGUAAAUCCACAGAAUCACGUGUUAUCAUGAUAAUAAAUUGUUUUUUUAAGCAAC